GGCGCGCAGGCGGUUUCUUAAGUCUGAUGUGAAAGCCCCCGGCUCAACCGGGGAGGGUCAUUGGAAACUGGGGAACUUGAGUGCAGAAGAGGAGAGUGGAAUUCCACGUGUAGCGGUGAAAUGCGUAGAGAUGUGGAGGAACACCAGUGGCGAAGGCGACUCUCUGGUCUGUAACUGACGCUGAGGAGCGAAAGCGUGGGGAGCGAACAGGAUUAGAUACCCUGGUAGUCCACGCCGUAAACGAUGAGUGCUAAGUGUUAGGGGGUUUCCGCCCCUUAGUGCUGCAGCUAACGCAUUAAGCACUCCGCCUGGGGAGUACGGUCGCAAGACUGAAACUCAAAGGAAUUGACGGGGGCCCGCACAAGCGGUGGAGCAUGUGGUUUAAUUCGAAGCAACGCGAAGAACCUUACCAGGUCUUGACAUCCUCUGACAAGGGUAGAGAUAGGACGUCCCCUUCCGGGGCACAGA
rnacentral:rRNA from 1 species